UUCGCUGGAACCCCUAUUCAAAUCGUUUAUUCCGCAAUGUUACAGUAAUAUAUUUUAUAAUGAUAUUUGCUCAUGAAUUACGACCAAGGUUUUUAAUAUGGAGUUUAUAUAAUUAAAUACGUAAUGUUCUGACUUACUCGCUUAUUCAGCGUUUGGAUUUAUUUUUGAGCGUCAUCAACAGGAGACAGGGGCGUCCAUGCGCGUGUCGUUUCACUCACCAGUGCCUUAUUCGAGGGUUGUCUGUAUCUACAAAGGGCGUAGCUGUGCUCUUGGUCCAGUGUAUGGAGGACAUGUCUGGUGGACCUGCCAUGGCUAAGGCAUGAGCUCCAUCUCCUCUGGGCUUGGCUGGCCAUGGUCCUCAGCAGUUACCAUCUAUAAGAUGGCCAUGACAUCCUCAGAGUCAGCCUGGCUUCAACACCAAACCCCUACUGUUAGAGAUUCCCAAGUUCAAGCAGAGAUACUCAAACUAUAAUGCUAGGGCAGAAUAGAGGAGGGUAAAAAAGUGUGAGACUUUCACAGACUGUAAGAGACUAGUGGAGGAUGUAGGAAACAAGGAAGCAAGUACAAAAUGUGGGAGAAAGGUUCAGAAGAUUCAGAUGACAGAAGGCUAGUAGAGCAUGUAGUGAAUCAGCAGAAAAUGCAGAAGUCUUCCGCAGACUGUAGGAGACAAGUGCAGAACGUAGAUGUAUGUAGACGGUAGGAGACUAACAGAAUAUAGAAAACUAAAAUGGACUGUAGGAGACCAUUGGAGAAGGUAUUAGAGACUAGUGGAGCAUCUAGGAAGCUAGUUGAGGAUAUAGGAGAAAAGGGGAGGUUGAAAACUUGUGAAGGAUGUAGAUGACCAGUGGAGGAUGUAGGAGACUGCACAUGCAAGAUUGAUGCAACUAGUGUAGGGUGGAAGAGGCUGCUGGUACAAGGUGGAGGCAAUUGGCAUGAGACAGAUGACGCUGUUUUGGGUAUAGAAACUGCUCUGUGUGAAAACAGGAACAGUUGAUGUGCAUGACCAGCAAAUUCAAUCACCAGCAGCUCUUUCUACAAGAGUCCACAACAAGGAUCCAGCCCACUUCCUGAGAACAGGCUCUUAAUUGAGUUUGAGUAGUCAAGGAAUUCCCUAAAUAGCAACUCGGCCACAGGACACAGGGGUUAAGGUGUGAGCUGGACUGGGCUUUAUCCCACCUGAAAAAGUGAGGGGAUUUAUCAUACCUACAUAAAUCAGCCAUUGUGAGGGUGGAACUUCCCUUGUUAUACCCCGCCCAGAAAAACAACCAAAUUUCAUCCCUCUUUUCUAUUUAAAUGAGCAGACAGGGCAUUAAUGGAAUUUGUAGUAUUGUUUUAUCUGUGUACCUUUCAUGGGUUUGUAUCAUGUUGGUUUUUUCAUAAUUUCAAUGUGUAGGGUGGUCGGAAAGCUCAACGCUGCCUGUUGUAAAAUUACACCCCCCACCUCGUAGAUUAGAUAACGGCCUUCAACUACCUCUGUCCUGCUACAGCCAAUAAAUCUAUAGAGUUCUGAUCCUUAACUCAGUGCCAUAUCUAGUAUUCUAGCCCAGAAUUUACUGGGCUAAAAUGGUAUUAAUCUUUGCUUUUACGUUUGGCAUUGUUUAUAUUAAACAAAAUUUCUAAAUAAUUUGAUACACUAAAGCCUGACUGGAAUGUCUCCAUAAGUAGUUAUUGAUACUUUUAUUUGUUUAUCCACACUAUAUAUAUUUUUUUUCAACUUUGUAAUGGAAUUAAAAUGCAUGAGGUAACUAAUUGCCAAAGAAGCUUGUUUGAACACUGUUAGAAGGGUCCACAGUCCACCGAGUACAACAGCUGGUGGGUGUGUUUGUGUGCGGAUGUGUGCAUACGUGUUUCUGCAUCGCCAUCGUGAUAAAUCUCAGGAGACAGCCGGAGCAACAGUCGUGUAAGUGAUGGAUGGCGCACUGUUUUCACGCGUGCGUGUCAUACCGCAACGGUGUCAAGGUUGCCCGGGAAACGGCUGCGUGUCUGCCGUAUCUCACCCUUAUCGCCGGCGGCUGUUGACGCGCUCAUCGCCUUUCCUCCUGAUCCUCGUCUGCGCUGAUAGGUGUACAGUCGCAUGCCGUCACUCCUUUUGGUGGCCUUCUGAGGGCCCCGUCUCCAAGUGACAAUUCGGAGCGUACCAAGAGUGCUACCGCUAUGUGUUUAUCGAUCAGCUGCAUUUUUAAGGUCAUGAAAAGAUAGCCCCUCAAUGAAAGACAGCUCCUCGCUUGUUGAUGGAAGAAUUCAUAGAAUUUUACUUACACUCCAUCUCUUCAUCCUUCAGGGUGCCUGAGUGGAAGAUUGUGAUGAUGGGGAUUUUAUGGGGACCUCUCAAAUCAAAUGCAGCUUCUCCUGUUCUGCCCUUCUGUCUUUGUGCAGCUGUACUUUGAGUUUGUUUUUCAGACAAAACCCCUCUCUGUAAGGUUAACGCCCCCCCCCCCCCCCCCCCCCUUCUUCACACGUUUUCAGAUGAACUUUAAGGGGCCACUAAGGUCAGGAAGCGUUUUUUGGGCCAGAAUGCCUACAGGAUACUAUCCCCACCACCUCUGCUGGUCAACUUGAUUUUUUUUCUCCAAAUUCUAACAAAGCAGUGUUAUUUGCAUAGCACUGUCUGUGUGUGUGCACAUGCAUGCAUGCAUGUGUGUGUGUGUGAGUGCAUGUAUGAGAAAGAGCUAGAAAGGGAGAGAGGCUCCUUUUUGUCCUAGUCCAGAAUCUGUAUAUGUUUUUCAUACAAAAUGGGUGAUGCUGAGAAUAACCUUGGAAUGUCUGAUCCAUAGAUCAGGCUCCUGUCCGGAAGCUUGUAACAGAUCAGAUCAGAAUUCAGCCUUUAUAAGGACCAUCCACUCUGAACACACACCUUAUCCACAGAUCUGGCCCGAUCCUGGCUUGAAACGCAUGUUUUGGGGUGGCGCCUCGUUGAAAAGCAUGUAUAGCAUGUACAUGUAGCCUAUGGCCGUACUAUCAGGAGACCACCAUAUCCAGUGCAUUACAACAAACAGCUGCACUCCUAGCAGGGUUAACCACAAUGCAAAAAUUAUAUUUUACAUGAUGCUUUUAAAUGUGAUGUAUUUUUUUUUUAACAAAAUCCGGGACAUUGUCUGUGGUUAUAGGAUGCAGGUUGAAGGGUCUUUAUGCAGGAAUGAACCGAUGAAUCUGGGAACCCUGAUCAGCUAACAUAUGGAAGUCAGGCUCAAAAGAGUGCAGUGUCUAUUUGCUGUUAACAUCUACGCUUAGAGCUGUUCUGUGGCUUAGCCUAAUAAACCCCAAGCUUUUUAAAUGUGAGCUGUGUUUUCGGGCAAUUGAGAUGCAGAAACAAAUAAAAUCCCUUUAAAUGUA